GCAUAGCUCAGUUGGUUAGAGUGUCGUACUAAUAAUGUGAAAAGUGUGGGUUCAAUUCCCCAUAUAUGGCAACA